rnacentral:rRNA from 1 species
GACGAACGCUGGCGGCGUGCCUAACACAUGCAAGUCGAGCGAAGUGAGUACUACGGUACGAACCUAGCGGCGGACGGGUGAGUAACGCGUGGACAAUCUACCCUGUAGACUGGGAUAACACCUCGAAAGGGGUGCUAAUACCGGAUAAUGUCGAGAAGCGGCAUCGCUUUUCGAAGAAAGGAGAGAAUCCGCUAUAGGAGGAGUCCGCGUCCCAUUAGCUAGUUGGUGAGGGUAACGGCCCACCAAGGCGACGAUGGGUAGCCGGCCUGAGAGGAAGGACGGCCACACUGUAACUGGGACACGGUCCGGACUCCGACGGGAGGCAGCAGGUGGGAAUAUUGUGAAAUGGGGGAAACCCUGACACAGCAACGCCGCGUGAGCGAAGAAGGCCUUCGGGUUGUAAAGCUCAACAGUAUGGGAAGAUAAUGACGGUACCAUACGAAAGCCCCGGCUAACUACGUGCCAGCAGCCGCAGUAACAC